rnacentral:rRNA from 1 species
UUGUCGGGUAAGUUCCGACCCGCACGAAAGGUGUAACGAUUUGGGCACUGUCUCAACCAGAGACUCGGUGAAAUUAUAGUACCUGUGAAGAUGCAGGUUACCCGCGACAGGACGGAAAGACCCCGUGGAGCUUUACUGUAGCCUGAUAUUGAAUUUUGGUACAGUUUGUACAGGAUAGGCGGGAGCCAUUGAAACCGGAGCGCUAGCUUCGGUGGAGGCGCUGGUGGGAUACCGCCCUGACUGUAUUGAAAUUCUAACCUACGGGUCUUAUCGACCCGGGAGACAGUGUCAGGUGGGCAGUUUGACUGGGGCGGUCGCCUCCUAAAGUGUAACGGAGGCGCCCAAAGGUUCCCUCAGAAUGGUUGGAAAUCAUUCGUAGAGUGCAAAGGCAUAAGGGAGCUUGACUGCGAGACCUACAAGUCGAGCAGGGACGAAAGUCGGGCUUAGUGAUCCGGUGGUUCCGCAUGGAAGGGCCAUCGCUCAACGGAUAAAAGCUACCCCGGGGAUAACAGGCUUAUCUCCCCCAAGAGUCCACAUCGACGGGGAGGUUUGGCACCUCGAUGUCGGCUCAUCGCAUCCUGGGGCUGUAGUCGGUCCCAAGGGUUGGGCUGUUCGCCCAUUAAAGCGGUACGCGAGCUGGGUUCAGAACGUCGUGAGACAGUUCGGUCCCUAUCCGUCGUGGGCGUAGGAAAUUUGAGAGGAGCUGUCCUUAGUACGAGAGGACCGGGAUGGACGCACCGCUGGUGUACCAGUUGUUCUGCCAAGGGCAUAGCUGGGUAGCUAUGUGCGGAAGGGAUAAGUGCUGAAAGCAUCUAAGCAUGAAGCCCCCCUCAAGAUGAGAUUUCCCAUAGCGUAAGCUAGUAAGAUCCCUGAAAGAUGAUCAGGUUGAUAGGUUCGAGGUGGAAGCAUGGUGACAUGUGGAGCUGACGAAUACUAAUAGAUCGAGGACUUAACCAU